AGAGUUGAUCAUGGCUCAGGAUGAACGCUAGCGACAGGCUUAACACAUGCAAGUCGAGGGGCAGCAUAAAAGUAGCAAUACUUGGUGGCGACCGGCGCACGGGUGAGUAACGCGUAUGCAACCUACCUAUCAGAGGGGAAUAACCCGGCGAAAGUCGGACUAAUACCGCAUAAAGCAGAGGCACCGCAUGGUGAUAUUUGUUAAAGAAAUUCGCUGAUAGAUGGGCAUGCGUUCCAUUAGGUAGUUGGUGAGGUAACGGCUCACCAAGCCGACGAUGGAUAGGGGAACUGAGAGGUUGGUCCCCCACACUGGUACUGAGACACGGACCAGACUCCUACGGGAGGCAGCAGUGAGGAAUAUUGGUCAAUGGGCGGGAGCCUGAACCAGCCAAGUCGCGUGAAGGAAGAAGGAUCUAUGGUUCGUAAACUUCUUUUGCAGGGGAAUAAAGUGCAGGGCGUGUCCUGUUUUGUAUGUACCCUGAGAAUAAGGAUCGGCUAACUCCGUGCCAGCAGCUGC
rnacentral:rRNA from 1 species